CAAUUUUCAGCGACGGAUAUCUUGGCUCGAGCACCUAUGAAGGGCGCAGCGAAGUGCGAUAAUCGUUGUGAAUUGCAGAACUCCGUGGACCAAUGGCCUCUUGAACGUGCAUUGCGCUCUUGGGAUAUGCCUGAGAGCAUGUCUGCUUCAGUG
rnacentral:rRNA from 1 species